rnacentral:rRNA from 1 species
UACGGAGGGAGCUAGCGUUGUUCGGAAUUACUGGGCGUAAAGCGCGCGUAGGCGGCUUUGCAAGUUAGAGGUGAAAGCCCGGAGCUCAACUUCGGAAUUGCCUUUAAAACUGCAUCGCUUGAAUCCGGGAGAGGUGAGUGGAAUUCCGAGUGCAGAGGUGAAAUUCGUAGAUAUUCGGAAGAACACCAGUGGCGAAGGCGGCUCACUGGACCGGCAUUGACGCUGAGGUGCGAAAGCGUGGGGAGCAAACAGG